rnacentral:rRNA from 1 species
CAGUAGCCGCGGGAAUACGUAGGUCCCGAGCGUUGUCCGGAUUUAUUGGGCGUAAAGCGAGCGCAGGCGGUUAGAUAAGUCUGAAGUUAAAGGCUGUGGCUUAACCAUAGUACGCUUUGGAAACUGUUUAACUUGAGUGCAGAAGGGGAGAGUGGAAUUCCAUGUGUAGCGGUGAAAUGCGUAGAUAUAUGGAGGAACACCGGUGGCGAAAGCGGCUCUCUGGUCUGUAACUGACGCUGAGGCUCGAAAGCGUGGGGAGCAAACAGGAUUAGAUACCCCUGUAGUCCCUGUCUCUUAUACA